UUCGUUCAAGUAUUUUUGUACUUAACCUUUAAAUGUGAUGUUCACUGGAAGAGUAAGGUUAUAUAAAACACAUAGGAUAAAUGUAGCAAAAUGUAAUGUUAAAAAGCUUUCUUCGGAGAAUUUUUCAAAUGAAUGGAAGACGGUGGAAGAGAAUAAAGAAUAAAUGAUAACGAAUGCGAGGAAGAAGACGCUCUCAGCCCCAGACCGUUGAUUCUCUUGGUCAAUUCGGCGCUGGCUCUUUCGACGAC